GCAGAUCACUCAAGGCAUGCGCAGACAAUAAUUCACAUUUCUACCACAUUGGAGAGUACAAAAUCACAUGUUGAAUAUUGACCGGAAGACACUGACAAUCAGAAUGGUUUUAUGCAAUAUGGCAUUAGAGCAGAUCACUCAAGGCAUGCGCAGACAAUAAUUCACAUUUCUACCACAUUGGAGAGUACAAAAUCACAUGUUGAAUAUUGACUAGAAGACACUGACAAUAAGAAUGGUUUUAUACAAUAUGGCAUUAGAGCAGAUCACUCAAGGCAUGCGCAGACAAUAAUUCACAUUUCUACCACAUUGGAGAGUACAAAAUCACAUGUUGAAUAUUGACCGGAAGACACUGACAAUCAGAAUGGUUUUAUGCAAUAUUGCAUUAGAGCAGAUCACUCAAGGCAUGCGCAGACAAUAAUUCACAUUUCUACCACAUUGGAGAGUACAAAAUCACAUGUUGAAUAUUGACUAGAAUACACUGACAAUAAGAAUGGUUUUAUACAAUAUGGCAUUAGAGCAGAUCACUCAAGGCAUGCGCAGACAAUAAUUCACAUUUCUACCACAUUGGAGAGUACAAAAUCACAUGUUGAAUAUUGACCGGAAGACACUGACAAUCAGAAUGGUUUUAUGCAAUAUUGCAUUAGAGCAGAUCACUCAAGGCAUGCGCAGACAAUAAUUCACAUUUCUACCACAUUGGAGAGUACAAAAUCACAUGUUGAAUAUUGACUAGAAGACACUGACAAUAAGAAUGGUUUUAUACAAUAUGGCAUUAGAGCAGAUCACUCAAGGCAUGCGCAGACAAUAAUUCACAUUUCUACCACAUUGGAGAGUACAAAAUCACAUGUUGAAUAUUGACCGGAAGACACUGACAAUCAGAAUGGUUUUAUGCAAUAUUGCAUUAGAGCAGAUCACUCAAGGCAUGCGCAGACAAUAAUUCACAUUUCUACCACAUUGGAGAGUACAAAAUCACAUGUUGAAUAUUGACUAGAAGACACUGACAAUAAGAAUGGUUUUAUACAAUAUGGCAUUAGAGCAGAUCACUCAAGGCAUGCGCAGACAAUAAUUCACAUUUCUACCACAUUGGAGAGUACAAAAUCACAUGUUGAAUAUUGACCGGAAGACACUGACAAUCAGAAUGGUUUUAUGCAAUAUUGCAUUAGAGCAGAUCACUCAAGGCAUGCGCAGACAAUAAUUCACAUUUCUACCACAUUGGAGAGUACAAAAUCACAUGUUGAAUAUUGACUAGAAGACACUGACAAUAAGAAUGGUUUUAUACAAUAUGGCAUUAGAGCAGAUCACUCAAGGCAUGCGCAGACAAUAAUUCACAUUUCUACCACAUUGGAGAGUACAAAAUCACAUGUUGAAUAUUGACCGGAAGACACUGACAAUCAGAAUGGUUUUAUGCAAUAUUGCAUUAGAGCAGAUCACUCAAGGCAUGCGCAGACAAUAAUUCACAUUUCUACCACAUUGGAGAGUACAAAAUCACAUGUUGAAUAUUGACUAGAAGACACUGACAAUAAGAAUGGUUUUAUACAAUAUGGCAUUAGAGCAGAUCACUCAAGGCAUGCGCAGACAAUAAUUCACAUUUCUACCACAUUGGAGAGUACAAAAUCACAUGUUGAAUAUUGACCGGAAGACACUGACAAUCAGAAUGGUUUUAUGCAAUAUUGCAUUAGAGCAGAUCACUCAAGGCAUGCGCAGACAAUAAUUCACAUUUCUACCACAUUGGAGAGUACAAAAUCACAUGUUGAAUAUUGACUAGAAGACACUGACAAUAAGAAUGGUUUUAUACAAUAUGGCAUUAGAGCAGAUCACUCAAGGCAUGCGCAGACAAUAAUUCACAUUUCUACCACAUUGGAGAGUACAAAAUCACAUGUUGAAUAUUGACCGGAAGACACUGACAAUCAGAAUGGUUUUAUGCAAUAUUGCAUUAGAGCAGAUCACUCAAGGCAUGCGCAGACAAUAAUUCACAUUUCUACCACAUUGGAGAGUACAAAAUCACAUGUUGAAUAUUGACUAGAAGACACUGACAAUAAGAAUGGUUUUAUACAAUAUGGCAUUAGAGCAGAUCACUCAAGGCAUGCGCAGACAAUAAUUCACAUUUCUACCACAUUGGAGAGUACAAAAUCACAUGUUGAAUAUUGACCGGAAGACACUGACAAUCAGAAUGGUUUUAUGCAAUAUUGCAUUAGAGCAGAUCACUCAAGGCAUGCGCAGACAAUAAUUCACAUUUCUACCACAUUGGAGAGUACAAAAUCACAUGUUGAAUAUUGACUAGAAGACACUGACAAUAAGAAUGGUUUUAUACAAUUAGUGACAGUUUAUCCACCAACAAUUUUACAUAUUGAACUGACUACAACCUUUAAGAA